rnacentral:rRNA from 1 species
UACAGAGAUCUCAAGCGUUGUUCGGAUUCAUUGGGCGUAAAGGGUGCGUAGGCGGCGCGGUAAGUCGGGUGUGAAAUCUUGGAGCUUAACUCCGAAACUGCAUUCGAUACUGCCGUGCUUGAGGACUGGAGAGGAGACUGGAAUUUACGGUGUAGCGGUGAAAUGCGUAGAUAUCGUAAGGAAGACCAGUGGCGAAGGCGGGGUCUCUGGACAGUUCCUGACGCUGAGGCACGAAGGCCAGGGGAGCAAACGGG